rnacentral:rRNA from 1 species
AAAGAUGGUUUCGGCUAUCACUUCAGGAUGGGCCGCGGUGCAUUAGCUAGUUGGUAAGGUAACGGCUUACCAAGGCGAUGAUGCAUAGCCGAGUUGAGAGACUGAUCGGUCACAAUGGAACUGAGACACGGUCCAUACUCCUACGGGAGGCAGCAGUAGGGAAUCUUCCACAAUGGGCGCAAGCCUGAUGGAGCAACACCGCGUGAGUGAAGAAGGGUUUCGGCUCGUAAAGCUCUGUUGUUGGAGAAGAACGUGCGUGAGAGUAACUGUUCACGCAGUGACGGUAUCCAACCAGAAAGUCACGGGCUAACUACGUGCCAGCAGCCGCGGUAAAU